rnacentral:rRNA from 1 species
GUCGAGCGCUUCCCUUCGGGGAGGAGCGGCGGACGGGUUAGUAACGCGUGGGAAUAUACCCAGUUCUAAGGAAUAGCCAUUGGAAACGAUGAGUAAUACCAUAUACGCCCUUCGGGGGAAAGAUUUAUCGGAGAAGGAUUGGCCCGCGUAAGAUUAGAUAGUUGGUGGGGUAAUGGCCUACCAAGUCUACGAUCUUUAGCUGGUUUUAGAGGAUGAUCAGCAACACUGGGACUGAGACACGGCCCAGACUCCUACGGGAGGCAGCAGUGGGGAAUCUUAGACAAUGGGCGCAAGCCUGAUCUAGCCAUGCCGCGUGUGUGAUGAAGGCCUUAGGGUCGUAAAGCACUUUCGCCAGAGAUGAUAAUGACAGUAUCUGGUAAAGAAACCCCGGCUAACUCCGUGCCAGCAGCCGCGGUAAUACGGAGGGGGUUAGCGUUGUUCGGAAUUACUGGGCGUAAAGCGUACGUAGGCGGAUCAGAAAGUAGGGGGUGAAAUCCCGAGGCUCAACCUCGGAACUGCCUCCUAAACUCCUGGUCUUGAGUUCGAGAGAGGUGAGUGGAAUUCCAAGUGUAGAGGUGAAAUUCGUAGAUAUUUGGAGGAACACCAGUGGCGAAG